AUGAUUUUCAUGCAGGACAAUGCUCCAUCACACGCGUCCAAGUACUCCACAGCGUGGCUGGCAAGAAAGGGUAUAAAAGAAGAAAAUCUAAUGACAUGGCCUCCUUGUUCACCUGAUCUGAACCCCAUUGAGAACCUGUGGUCCAUCAUCAAAUGUGAGAUUUACAAGGAGGGAAAACAGUACACCUCUAUGAACAGUGUCUGGGAGGCUGUGGUUGCUGCUGCACGCAAUGUUGAUGGUGAACAGAUCAAAACACUGACAGAAUCCAUGGAUGGCAGGCUUUUGAGUGUCCUUGCAAAGAAAGG